CUGGAAACAGGAGUAAGCUGCCUUCGGGUGAAACUUGCACAGGUGCUGCAUGGCUGUCGUCAGCUCGUGCUGUGAAGUGUCGGGUUAAGUCCCUUAACGAGCGAAACCCCUAUCGUUAGUUGCCAGCGGGUCAUGCCGGGGACUCUAGCGAGACCGCCGACGUCAAGUCGGAGGAAGGUGGGGACGACGUCAAGUCAUCAUGGCCUUUAUGCCCAGGGAUUCUCACGUCCUACAAUGGCCGUUACAGAGCGAAGCGAGACCGCGAGGUGGAGCAAAUCGCACAAAGGCGGCCUCAGUUCGGAUUGGAGUCUGCAACUCGACUCCAUGAGGCUGGAAUCGCUAGUAAUCGCGGAUCAGCUACGCCGCGGUGAAUGUGUUCCUGAGCCUUGUACACACCGCCCGUCAAGUCAUGGAAGCUGGGAGUACCCGAAGUCCGUUUAGCUAACCCGCAAGGGAGGCGACGGCCGACGGUAAGCCCGGUGACUGGGACUAAGUCGUAACAAGGUAGCCGUAGC
rnacentral:rRNA from 1 species